rnacentral:rRNA from 1 species
GACGAACGCUGGCGGCGUGCCUAAUACAUGCAAGUCGAGCGAAGUUUUUCUGGUGCUUGCACUAGAAAAACUUAGCGGCGAACGGGUGAGUAACACGUAAAGAACCUGCCUCAUAGACUGGGACAACUAUUGGAAACGAUAGCUAAUACCGGAUAACAGCAUUAACUGCAUGGUUGAUGUUUGAAAGUUGGUUUUGCUAACACUAUGAGAUGGCUUUGCGGUGCAUUAGCUAGUUGGUGGGGUAAAGGCCUACCAAGGCGACGAUGCAUAGCCGACCUGAGAGGGUGAUCGGCCACACUGGGACUGAGACACGGCCCAGACUCCUACGGGAGGCAGCAGUAGGGAAUCUUCCGCAAUGGGCGAAAGCCUGACGGAGCAACGCCGCGUGAGUGAAGAAGGAUUUCGGUUCGUAAAGCUCUG